rnacentral:lncRNA from 1 species
GAGCACCCAGCAUCCCCCUCGUUGGGAGCCUGUCACCUGGAUGUGAAGCACUGUUGACUACUGGAAAGGGACAGCUAUAGAGUAGAAGCUGCGGCAAAAGCUUUGCUGAGUGAAUGGAGGGAAGGGAGGAGGGGCCAAGGAGGAUGGAGUUUACCUGGCCCAGUAAAGCUGAGGCGGGAGAAGACCAGCUGUAAGUACCUUGAUGAGAGAGCCCAGGCUGAAUGGCACAGUCCCCAGACUCCUAGCAGGUGUGGAAUAGGACCUGGGUGGACCUCAGAGAGGCCCAGGUGUGCUGGUGAGAGAUGCUGUAGCCUGAAGGGAACAGGAGAGGGGUGCCAGGCCUCCUAAGGUGAGGAGCCUGUGCUGGUCGAGAUCCUGCUGACCCCACAGGGUUUGUUCCC